UGCAUAUCCAAUAAGCGGAGGAAAAGAAACCAACAGGGAUUGCCUCAGUAACGGCGAGUGAAGCGGCAAGAGCUCAAAUUUGAAAGCUGGCCCCUUCGGGGUCCGCGUUGUAAUUUGCAGAGGAUGCUUCGGGUGCAGCCCCCGUCUAAGUGCCCUGGAACGGGCCGUCAUAGAGGGUGAGAAUCCCGUCUGGGACGGGGUGUCUGCGUCCGUGUGAAGCUCCUUCGAAGAGUCGAGUUGUUUGGGAAUGCAGCUCUAAAUGGGUGGUAAAUUUCAUCUAAAGCUAAAUACUGGCCGGAGACCGAUAGCGCACAAGUAGAGUGAUCGAAAGAUGAAAAGCACUUUGAAAAGAGAGUUAAACAGCACGUGAAAUUGUUGAAAGGGAAGCGUUUGCGACCAGACUCGCUCGCGGGGUUCAGCCGGCAUUCGUGCCGGUGUACUUCCCCGUGGGCGGGCCAGCGUCGGUUUGGGCGGCCGGUCAAAGGCCCUCGGAAUGUAUCACCUCUCGGGGUGUCUUAUAGCCGAGGGUGCAAUGCGGCCUGCCCGGACCGAGGAACGCGCUUCGGCUCGGACGCUGGCGUAAUGGUCGUAAAUGACCCGUCUUGAACCACGGACCA
rnacentral:rRNA from 1 species